rnacentral:rRNA from 1 species
CCUACGGGCGGCAGCAGUGAGGAAUAUUGGUCAAUGGCCGUAAGGCUGAACCAGCCAAGUAGCGUGAGGGAAGACUGCCCUAUGGGUUGUAAACCUCUUUUAUGAGGGGAUAAAGGUUUCCACGUGUGGAUUUUUGCAUGUACCUCAUGAAUAAGCAUCGGCUAACUCCGUGCCAGCAGCCGCGGUAAUACGGAAGGUGCGGGCGUUAUCCGGUUUUAUUGGGUUUAAAGGGUGCGUAGGCGGUUUUUUAAGUGAGCGGUAAAAUUUCGGGGCUAAACCUUGAGGUGCCGUUGAGACUGGAAGCCUUGAGUGCGCGAGAGGUAGGCGGAAUACGUGGUGUAGCGGUGAAAUGCUUAGAUAUCACGCAGAACCCCGAUAGCGAAGGCAGCUUACCGGAGCGUGACUGACGCUGAAGCACGAGAGCGUGGGUAUCGAACAGGAUUAGAUACCCGGGUAGUC